GGUGCCGGCAGUGGGGGAGGAAUCGAUCGCCGCGACCCGAAAAUAACAACCACAGAGCGCAGCCGCGCAUCUGGACCUGCAGCCUUCAGUGCCAACCAGCCACCUUGAUUGGGUUAGCCGCUACAGAGCCGGUCUCCUAGCAACAGGGCGGUGGAGCUGGUGGACGUCGGUCAGCUGCACACUGGGCUCGAGGAACGUGUUCCCGGCAUUUUCCCUAUCGCCCCUGACAGACACUGGCUGUGGUGAUUAUACUGCAUGACCUUAGUGAAAACGGUGAAAAACUCCCCCCAGGAUCUCCGGAGGGGCGGUUCAGUGGAGGACCAAUGCCGAGCCUGAGCAUUAUUAUUGCACAGCGAGGAGUGCCAGACCUUCUUGUGAUGAAUCUGGUCUGAAGAUUCCUCUGCUCAGAAGAUCUGAGUCCCUGUGGUAAUGCAGAGGUGGCAGAUGGGAUGCAGAUGUGGAGAGAUACUUACACGUCUUCCUGAAAACAGCUUCUGUCCCAUGUUUCAGUGUUCUUUUUUAAACGUGCUGUGAAAGCCUAUCUAGAUGUGUAAGUGUCAUGAUGGUGGGAAACCAGAGGGACAUAGGAGAUCUUCUGGGUGAAAUAGAGCUCAAC
rnacentral:lncRNA from 1 species